rnacentral:lncRNA from 1 species
GGUAACCACAUUUCCCAGUUGACUACUACCGGUAAUAAAAUCAAAUGGAUUCAGUGCUCACAACUCUUCAGUCUUUGGGCUACUUUCCAUUCUUGAAUUUUUAGCUGAAUUCAUCUCUUUGGCUGGAUUUUGUGAAUCGGGCAGCCAUUAGAACCAAAACAGUUCUGAGGAGCUCCCAGGCUGCAAUGUGGUGCGAAAUGUUUUAUGGACAGAAAAUGGAAAUGAGGUGCAGAAAUUGGAGGAAAGUCACGUUUCAGUGUUUUGGUUUUGGUGAAUGCCCACAACAAGGCUAGUGAAGGAAGGAGGCAUAGUAGGAAGCUGUUGGCCAGACGAGCUUUUAGAAGACCCUUGCUACAUAGAGAGGACGUAGAAAAUGUCUUUAUCAUUAGUUGUAUUUCCAGGCUGAGACAAUACAAAAGAUGGACAGCUCUAAGUUGAUUAUCAAGCUUUAAAUAUGUUUCACUUGAUUAAGAACAUUGAAGGUGAGAAUGGAAUUAUGUAGGCUUCACUGAGUAUCCGUAAAGUUGGGAACAAUGAUAUACAACACAGAAAAGAAGCUCCAUAAGAAAACAGCUGCAACUAACCCAUCUGGAAAGAGACCUCAAUCAAAAUGAUACUUAGCGAAAGAAAAAUACUUUCAGUGAUCAAAUUAUUUGUCUGACCAAUGCUUGGUGGAAAGAUUCCACAUUACUAGUUAUUUGUAAUGGGUAAUUGCACAAUAUACUGUAUUGUUCAAUCUGGUGUGAAUGAAAGUGGGG